CGUAGGUGGCAGGCGUUGUCCGGAUUUAUUGGGUUUAAAGGGUGCGUAGGCGGUCUUUUAAGUCAGUGGUGAAAUACUUCAGCUCAACUGGAGAGGUGCCAUUGAUACUGGGAGACUUGAGUACUGAUGAGGUAGGCGGAAUGGACGGUGUAGCGGUGAAAUGCUUAGAUAUCGUCCAGAACACCGAUAGCGAAGGCAGCUUACUAAGGAGUAACUGACGCUGAGGCACGAAAGUGUGGGGAUCAAACAGGAUUAGAUACCCUGGUAGUCCACACUGUAAACGAUGAUCACUCGAUGUUGGCGAUACACGGCCAGCGUCUUAGCAAAAGCGAUAAGUGAUCCACCUGGGGAGUACGCCGGCAACGGUG
rnacentral:rRNA from 1 species